GUUUGGCCUUAACCUUAAGGCUCACUCUGAAUUCCCACCUUCUUAAAUAACACUGUCAGCGUUAUUGCUGGGAAUUCAUAGUGAGUUUAAAAUUGCUUUGUCUUUGGAAUCCAAUUCAACUAUUUUAUAGCCUGAAUGUUAAAGGUUUAAUUUAUUUCCCAGCUUCUAACCUACGAAUUGACCUGGAAAUUUAGAGAUUCCAUCCAAUCAAAUUGUUGGGACUUCAGCAGGAAACAGCAGUUUGGUAAC